UACGUAGGGGGCGAGCGUUGUCCGGAUUUAUUGGGCGUAAAGAGCUCGUAGGCGGUUUGGCAAGUCGGGUGUGAAAACUCCGGGCUCAACUCGGAGACGCCACUCGAUACUGCCAUGACUCGAGUCCGGUAGGGGAGUGCGGAAUUCCUGGUGUAGCGGUGAAAUGCGCAGAUAUCAGGAGGAACACCGGUGGCGAAGGCGGCACUCUGGGCCGGUACUGACGCUGAGGAGCGAAAGGGUGGGGAGCAAACAGG
rnacentral:rRNA from 1 species